rnacentral:rRNA from 1 species
UACGUAGGGUGCAAGCGUUGUCCGGAAUUAUUGGGCGUAGAGAGCUCGUAGGCGGUUCGUCGCGUCGGCUGUGAAAACCCGGAGCUCAACUCCGGGCCUGCAGUCGAUACGGGCGGGCUUGAGUGUUGCAGGGGAGACUGGAAUUCCUGGUGUAGCGGUGAAAUGCGCAGAUAUCAGGAGGAACACCGGUGGCGAAGGCGGGUCUCUGGGCAACUACUGACGCUGAGGAGCGAAAGCGUGGGGAGCGAACAGG